CACGUAGGAGGCAAACGUUAUCCGGAUUUACUGGGCGUAAAGCGCGUGUAGGUGGUUCUGUAAGUAGGGCGUGAAAGCUCCCGGCUCAACUGGGAGAGGCCGUUCUAAACUGCAGAGCUAGAGGAUGGUAGAGGGAGGUGGAAUUCCAGGUGUAGCGGUGGAAUGCGCAGAUAUCUGGAGGAACACCAGUGGCGAAGGCGGCCUCCUGGACCAUUCCUGACACUCAGACGCGAAAGCUAGGGCAGCAAACGGGAUUAGAUACCCGGGUAGU
rnacentral:rRNA from 1 species